AAACAGCUUGCUGUUCGCUGACGAGUGGCGGACGGUGAGUAAUGUCUGGGAAACUGCCUGAUGGAGGGGAUAACUACUGGAAACGGUAGCUAAUACUGCAUAACGUCGCAAGACCAAAGAGGGGACCUUCGGGCCUCUUGCCAUCGGAUGUGCCUAGAUGGGAUUAGCUAGUAGGUGGGUAACGGCUCACCUAGGCGACGAUCCCUAGCUGGUCUGAGAGGAUGACCAGCCACACUGGAACUGAGACACGGUCCAGACUCC
rnacentral:rRNA from 1 species